GAUGAAGAACGUAGCGAAAUGCGAUAAGUAAUGUGAAUUGCAGAAUUCAGUGAAUCAUCGAAUCUUUGAACGCACAUUGCGCCCGUCAGUAUUCUGGCGGGCAUGCCUGUUCGAGCGUCAUUACGCCCCUCAAGUCCCCUGUGGACUUGGUGUUGGGGAUCGGCGAGGCUGGUUUUCCAGCACAGCCGUCCCUUAAAUUAAUUGGCGGUCUCGCCGUGGCCCUCCUCUGCGCAGUAGUAAAACACUCGCAACAGGAGCCCGGCGCGGUCCACUGCCGUAAAACCCCCCAACUUUGUAUAGUUGACCUCGAAUCAGGUAGGACUACCCGCUGAACUUAAGCAUAUCAAUAAGCGGAGGA
rnacentral:misc_RNA from 1 species